rnacentral:rRNA from 1 species
CCUACGGGAGGCAGCAGUGAGGAAUAUUGGUCAAUGGGCGCGAGUCUGAACCAGCCAAGUAGCGUGCAGGAUGACUGCCCUACGGGUUGUAAACUUCUUUUAUAAAGGAAUAAAGUGAGGCUCGUGUGCCUUUUUGUAUGUACUUUAUGAAUAAGGAUCGGCUAACUCUGUGCUAGCAGCCGCGGUAAUACGGAGGAUCCGAGCGUUAUCCGGAUUGAUUGGGUUUAAAGGGAGCGUAGAUGGGUUGUUAAGUCAGUUGUGAAAGUUUGCGGCUCAACCGUAAAAUUGCAAUUGAUACUGGCAGUCGUGAGUACAGUUGAGGUAGGCGGAAUUCGUGGUGUAGCGGUGAAAUGCUUAGAUAUCACGAAGAACUCCGAUUGCGAAGGCAGCUUACUAAGCUGCCACUGACAUUGAUGCUCGAAAGUGUGGGUAUCAAACAGGAUUAGAUACCCGUGUAGUC